AUGCGCUUCCCACGUGCACAGAGCCCUCCAGGUCCGAGCAGUCUGACGCCAGCUUUACUGCACCGUAUUAGCUUAAAUUUCCGCUGGAAGCAGCGUACCAUUUCCCUCUUUGCCAGGACAGCAUUGGCUUGGCGCCCACUCGGAUCUGCCCCGCCCAGCGCAAACCGCGCCAAGGCCUGGAAGAUAGCAUGGGCACAGCCAAUGACCCCAGGCCCUCCGAGUGGCGCAUGCGCGGCAGGCGCAGCCCGAGCGAGAGCGGCGCGAGAGGACCAGCACGCAUGCGCCCGGGAGCGUCUCUCUCGCGCCAAAUCCCCUGGCCGUGGUGCCAAUGGUCCCGCCCAUGGCGGGGGCGGAGCCAGGGUGCGGCGCGAAAAUCCGCGGGAAGCGCAGCUCCACUUCCGCCCGCCGGCCGACCGCAGUGCUCCUGCUGCUUCUGAUCCCGCCGCUUCCGUCAUGGCGCAGCGCCGCCUCACCGACUUCUUUGCGCGCCGCCGGCCCGGGGUCAGCACCACGCUGCCGCGCGCCAAGCCGGCGUGGCGCACCCCGAGCCCUGCCAAGUCCGCGGCUUGCGCCGCGGCUCCGGGUCCUGGCAGCAGCCGCAAGCGCGCCCGCCCGCCUGCCGAGCCCACGCGCGACGAGCGUGUGCCGCCCGCGCGCAAGAGGCUGAGGCUGCCGGCUGACGCGGUCUCUGGCCCCAGUUCCCCGCCUGCCCCUGUCUCGCCAGAGCACCCUUCUCCACAGAGCAAGGAGACAAAGAAGGCUGCUCGCUCAGCUGGUGGGCGACCCUGCCUGGCAGCCCAGGAGAACAAGGUCCCUUCAAAGGUCACCGUGUCUGAGCUCAAGUCGUGCCUGCAGCGGGCACAGGAGCUGGGGGCACGAGUCCAGGAGCUGAAAGCAAGUGCACAGAAGGAUGCUGGGGAACCCAGUGCUCCAGAGGAUGAGGGACGCCUGGAGGGCCCAUGUGGAGAGCAGAUGCCAGCCUACCAGCGCUUCCAUGCCCUGGCCCAGCCUGGGCCCCCGGGCCUUGUGCUGCCCUACAAGUACCAGGUGCUGGCUGAGAUGUUCCGCAGCAUGGACACCAUCGUGGGUAUGCUCUACAACCGCUCCGAGACCGUAACCUUCGCUAAAGUCAAGCAGGGUGUCCAGGACAUGAUGCGCAAACGCUUUGAGGAGCGCAAUGUGGGCCAGAUCAAAACUGUGUACCCCGGCUCCUACCACUUCCGCCAGGAGCGCUUCGUCCCCACUUUCAAGGAUGGCAUCAAAAGGUCCGAUUACCAGCUCACCAUUGAGCCGCUGCUGGACCAGCAGGCUGGCAGUGCAGCCCCCCAGCUCACGGCGUCACGCCUGCUGCAGCGGCGCCAGGUCUUCAGCCAGAACCUGGUGGCCCGAGUCCGGGAGCAUCACAGGGCCUUCCUGGCCUCCCUGAACCCUCCGAUGGAAGUGCCAGAGGACCAGCUGACACGCUGGCACCCCCGCUUCAAUGUGGAUGGGGUGCCUGACAUCGAGCCGGCCGAGCUGCCCCAGCCGCCCGCUGUGGAGAAGCUGACCACCGCCCAGGAAGUCCUGGCCCGUGCCCGUAGCCUGAUGUCACCCAGGAUGGAGAAGGCCCUGAGUGACCUGGCCCAGCGCACAGCCGAGCCUAGGAGCCCCAGGUCCCCCAGCCUGGCACAGCCAGCCACUCCACCUGCUGCCCCACCUUCUGCCCUGAAGGGGGUGUCCCAGGCCCUGCUGGAGCGAAUCCGGGCCAAAGAGGCGCAGAAGCAGCUGGCACAGAUGACACGGCGCCCGGAGCAGGAGCAGCGGCUGCAGCGGCUUGAGCGGCUGCCUGAACUGGCUCGGGUGCUGCGCGGCGUGUUUGUGUCAGAGCGCAAGCCGGCGCUUACCAUGGAGGUGGCCUGUGCCAGGAUGGUGGGCAGCUACCGAGCAGCCAUGAGCCCCGGGGAGAUGGAGAAGCACCUGCAGCUCCUCUCUGAGCUGCUGCCUGACUGGCUCAGUCUCCACCGCAUCCGCACGGACACCUACGUCAAGCUGGACAAGGCCGCCGACCUGGCAGGUGUCAUGGAACAGCUGGCCCGCCUGGCCCGUGCAGAGGAGACCCUGUGAGCCUGGUGGACAUGUGCUGGGCGUCUUACUCCCUUUCAGAAAAUGAUGCACUUUGCUCUCCCUGUCCUGAGUCUCAUGAGGGCCAGGCUGGCCUGGGCUUGGGCUGCUGAGCUAGAGGGUCUCUGGUGGAGGCCCCCUGCUUUGUAUACAGGAUGCAGGGAAAAGGGGGGUGGGGGAGGGUAGCGUGAUGGCCAGAGUUACCCUCUCUGGG
rnacentral:lncRNA from 1 species